rnacentral:SRP_RNA from 1 species
GCCGGGCGUGGUGGCGGACGCCUGUAGUCCCAGCUACUCGGAGGCUGAGGCGGGAGAAUGGCGUGAACCUGGGAGGUGGAGCUUGCAGUGAGCCGAGAUCGCGCCACUGCACUCCAGCCUGGGCGACAGAGCCAGACUCCGUCUCAA